rfam:Lingula anatina scaffold283, whole genome shotgun sequence.
UUGCCUGGCGGCUUUUGUGAUUUAGCAAUUGUUUGCAUGACAAAUUGCAUAGUCACAAAAGUGAUCAGGAGC